AGUAAUAUAUUUUACAAUUUCGGAACUUUGAACCGUGCAAUACAAUGAGAUGAGAGCGGGCGUAAAUAACGACAUUAAUAUCAAUAACGGGCAAAGCAUUGAGAGAGAGUUCUGAACAUUCCAAUAAGAGAGCUAUGUGGGACAAGCUCAAAAUUAUCUUCAAUCCAUCCUCAAAUCAGUCAACCAGUGAGAGAUAAUUGCCGAUAUUAGUACUCCGACAGCUGUUCUGUUAUUGCUGUUAUAUUGACGACAAACGACAACAACCCGAGUGCCAAAUAGUUUCAAAAACUUGCAGUAUGAAUGAUGAAAGGAAAUUCUACGUGAGAGAAGUGAAAAUGCCGAUAUUAAACUUCGGUGGCAGAGGUAGACAAAUUCUUGUUAUGUUAUGUUAAAAUGUAUAUAACAGUUAAAAAAAACAAAAUUUAAUUAAUUUACUUCUUAUUAGAACAGUUUGUUGCGGCAGUUAUACGUAAAAUAAAAUGUAUUUGAAAUGAAA